GGUCCAGACACCUACGGGUGGCAGCAGUCGAGAAUUUUUCUCAAUGGGGGAAACCCUGAAGGAGCGACGCCGCGUGGGGGAUGAAUGGCUUCGGCCCGUGAACCCCUGUCAUUUGCGAACAAAAUUUACAUUUUAAUAGAGUGUGAACUGAUUGUAGCGAAAGAGGAAGGGACGGCUAACUCUGUGCCAGCAGCCGCGGUAAUACAGAGGUCCCAAGCGUUGUUCGGAUUCACUGGGCGUAAAGGGUGCGUAGGCGGUCGGGUAAGUUUGAUGUGAAAUCUCUGGGCUUAACCCAGAAAUGGCAUUGAAUACUAUUCGGCUAGAGAAUCGGAGGGGGGACUGGAAUACUUGGUGUAGCAGUGAAAUGCGUAGAUAUCAAGUGGAACACCAGUGGCGAAGGCGAGUCCCUGGACGAUUUCUGACGCUGAGGCACGAAAGCUAGGGGAGCAAACAGGAUUAGAUACCCUGGUAGUCCUAGCUGUAAACGGUGCACGUUUGCUGUAAAAGGAAUCGACCCCUUUUGUGGCGAAGCUAACGCGUUAAACGUGCCGCCUGGGAAGUACGGUCGCAAGAUUAAAACUCAAAGAAAUUGACGGGGGCCUGCACAAGCGGUGAGUAUGUGGCUUAAUUCGAUUCAACGCGAAGAACCUUACCUGGCCUUGACAUGCAAGUGGUAGAACCUUGAAAGAGGGACGAACCCGCAAGGGUAGCUUGCACAGGUGCUGCAUGGCUGUCGUCAGCUCGUGUCGUGAGAUGUUGGGUUAAGUUCCGCAACGAGCGCAACCCCUGUGUCCUGUUGCCACCCGGCCGAGAGGCUGGAGCACUCUGGACAGACUGCCUCGCUUAAACGAGGAGGAAGGUGGGGAUGACGUCAAGUCAGUAUGGCCCUUACGGCCAGGGCUGCACACGUACUACAAUGCCCGGUACAAAGGGAAGCAAGACCGCGAGGUGGAGCAAAUCCCCUAAAACCGGGCUCAGUUCAGAUUGUAGUCUGCAACUCGACUACAUGAAGCUGGAAUCGCUAGUAAUGGCGCAUCAGCUACGGCGCCGUGAAUACGUUCCCAGGCCUUGUACACACCGCCCGUCACAUCAUGAAAGCCGUUUGUACCCGAAGUCGUCGUGCUAACCGCAAGGAGGCAGAUGCCGAAGGUAUGGAUGGUGAUUGGGAUGAAGUCGUAACAAGGUAGCCGUAGGGGAACCUGCGGCUG
rnacentral:rRNA from 1 species